UACAGGGGGUGCGAGCGUUAAUCGGAAUUACUGGGUGUAAAGGGCGCGUAGGCGGUGUGAUAUGUGUGAUGUGAAAGCCCCGGGCUUAACCUGGGAAGUGCAUUGCAAACUAUCGUACUAGAGUAUAUGAGAGGGUGGCGGAAUUUCCGGUGUAGCGGUGAAAUGCGUAGAGAUCGGAAGGAACGUCAAUGGCGAAGGCAGCCACCUGGCAUAAUACUGACGCUGAGGCGCGAAAGCGUGGGGAGCGAACAGG
rnacentral:rRNA from 1 species